GAUAAACGCUGGCGGCGUGCCUAAUGCAUGCAAGUCGAACGCGGCUGACUUCGGUCAGUCGAGUGGCGGACGGGUGAGGAACACGUACGAGACCUACCCCCCAGCGGGGAAUACCCGCUCGAAAGGGCGGCUAAUGCCGCAUACGGUCCCUUGGGUAGAGCCAGGGGAGGAAAGCUCGCAAGGGCGCUGGGGGAGGGGCGUGCGGCCGAUUAGCUAGUUGGUGGGGUAAGAGCCUACCAAGGCGACGAUCGGUAGCUGGUCUGAGAGGACGGACAGC
rnacentral:rRNA from 1 species